rnacentral:rRNA from 1 species
UACGUAGGACCCGAGCGUUAUCCGGAAUUACUGGGCGUAAAGCGUGCGCAGGCGGUUUUGUAAGACCGAUGUGAAAUCCCCGGGCUCAACCUGGGAACUGCAUUGGUGACUGCAAGGCUAGAGUGUGUCAGAGGGAGGUGGAAUUCCACGUGUAGCAGUGAAAUGCGUAGAGAUGUGGAGGAACACCGAUGGCGAAGGCAGCCUCCUGGGAUAACACUGACGCUCAUGCACGAAAGCGUGGGGAGCAAACAGG